rnacentral:rRNA from 1 species
CCUACGGGGGGCUGCAGUGGGGAAUAUUGGACAAUGGGCGAAAGCCUGAUCCAGCCAUGCCGCGUGUGUGAAGAAGGCCUUCGGGUUGUAAAGCACUUUCAGUGGGGAAGAAAGCCUUGGGGCUAAUACCCUCGAGGAAGGACAUCACCCACAGAAGAGGCACCGGCUAACUCCGUGCCAGCAGCCGCGGUAAUACGGAGGGUGCGAGCGUUAAUCGGAAUUACUGGGCGUAAAGCGCGCGUAGGCGGUCUGAUAAGCCGGUUGUGAAAGCCCCGGGCUCAACCUGGGAACGGCAUCCGGAACUGUCAGGCUAGAGUGCAGGAGAGGAAGGUAGAAUUCCCGGUGUAGCGGUGAAAUGCGUAGAGAUCGGGAGGAAUACCAGUGGCGAAGGCGGCCUUCUGGACUGACACUGACGCUGAGGUGCGAAAGCGUGGGUAGCAAACAGGAUUAGAUACCCGAGUAGUC